rnacentral:lncRNA from 1 species
ACAUAUAAGGCCUUCAAGUUUUGGGGUCAAAUAGCCCAAAAACGAAACCCAAUACCAUGUUUCCUUCUGAAAUUAAAAUAAUAUAAUAUUCAAUUCGUCUCUUACACGCACAUCCGGUGCGCGUGUGUCGGUAUUCCUGAGGCAAGUUUUUCUGGGCAAAAGACAGCCUGGUCCCUCGAAUUUCAGCUCAAGAUUGUGGGGCAAAAAGGUUUAAACUGUCCACUUUUUCUUCUCUCUCCUACUAGGUUGCCCAACAACCUAAUUAAAACAUGGGCUUGCCCAAAUUUCUAAUUCAAACUUAAAAGUUGCCCAAUCUUCUAAUUUUCCCUUACUUUUAAAUAGAGAGCCUUCCUUCUUCUUUUCUCCUAUUUUGAAACUAGAGCGAAGCCCUGCAAAGAUCUAGAGUGACCAGGAAACCUCAGCCGUCAAGCUUAUCUUUUCCUUUUCUCUCUUACUCUCUCUCUCUCUCUCUCUCUC